rnacentral:rRNA from 1 species
AAGAACUUUGAAGAGAGAGUUCAAGAGAACGUGAAAUCGUUAAAGUGGAACCGGAGAGAGUUGACGAAGCUUUUGUGGUGAAGAUUUUCGUGAUUGCUUAAUUGUAAUUACGUUUGUUGGAUCUGCUUUUGCUGCGUUGGCAGGGUUGUUGAUGUCUUUUGAAGCGUGUAGUGUUGCCCACUUUGUUGUGGUGUCUUGCUUGCGUGGAAAUUGAUCAUUAGUAGCUUUUGCCAAUGUUCAAGUCGACCACCUUUCCGACCCGUCUUGAAACACGGACCGAGGAGUGUAACUAAUGCGCGAGUCAAAGGGUGUUAAAACCCUACGGCGAAAUGAAAGUAAAGACCAGUUAACUGGUAUUACAUAGGAGGUGUUCUUCAUUGAGCAUUGCACUAUGGCCCUGUCUUGAAAGCUUGCUUUCGGGCAGAGGAAGAGCGUAUUGGUUGCGACCCGAAAGAUGGUGAACUAUGCUUGAGCAGGACGAAGCCAGAGGAAACUCUGGUGGAAGUCCGUAUCGGUUCUGACGUGCAAAUCGAUCGAUAGACUUGAGUAUAGGGGCGAAAGACUAA